rnacentral:rRNA from 1 species
UACGAAGGGGGCUAGCGUUGCUCGGAAUCACUGGGCGUAAAGCGCACGUAGGCGGCUUCUCAAGUCAGGGGUGAAAUCCUGGAGCUCAACUCCAGAACUGCCUUUGAUACUGAGGGGCUCGAGUCCGGGAGAGGCGAGUGGAACUGCGAGUGUAGAGGUGAAAUUCGUAGAUAUUCGCAAGAACACCAGUGGCGAAGGCGGCUCACUGGCCCGGUACUGACGCUGAGGUGCGAAAGCGUGGGGAGCAAACAGG